UGCGAGUCAUUGUAGCAAUACAAGGCAGACGGCUCAGUAACGCGUAGUCAAUCUACCCUAUGGACGGGAAUAACCUCGGGAAACUGAGAAUAAUGCCCGACAGAACAUUAUACCUGGAACGGUUUAUGUUUCAAAUGAUUUAUCGCCGUAGGAUGGGACUGCGGCCUAUCAGUUUGUUGGUGAGGUAAUGGCCCACCAAGACUAUUACAGGUACGGGCUCUGAGAGGAGUAGCCCGGAGAUGGGUACUGAGACACGGACCCAGGCCCUAUGGGGCGCAGCAGGCGAGAAAACUUUGCAAUGUGCGAAAGCACGACAAGGUUAAUCCGAGUGGUUUCUGCUAAAGAAACCUUUUGCUAGUCCUAGAAACACUAGUGAAUAAGGGGUGGGCAGGUUCUGGUGUCAGCCGCCGCGGUAAAACCAGCACCUCAAGUGGUCAGGAUGAUUAUUGGGCCUAAAGCAUCCGUAGCUCGUUUUGUAAGUUUUCGGUUAAAUCCAUACGCUUAACGUAUGGGCUGCCGGGAAUACUGCAUAACUAGGAAGUGGGAGAGGUAGACGGUACUCGGUAGGAAGGGGUAAAAUCCUUUGAUCUAUUGAUGACCACCUGUGGCGAAGGCGGUCUACCAGAACACGUUCGACGGUGAGGGAUGAAAGCUGGGGGAGCAAACCGGAUUAGAUACUCGGGUAGUCCCAGCUGUAAACUAUGCAAACUCAGUGAUGCAUUGGCUUGUGGCCAAUGCAGUGCUGCAGGGAAGCCGUUAAGUUUGCCGCCUGGGAAGUACGUACGCAAGUAUGAAACUUAAAGGAAUUGGCGGGGGAGCACCACAAGGGGUGAAGCCUGCGGU
rnacentral:rRNA from 1 species